AUAACAUUUAUACUUUAUAAAUUAUGAAAGUUACUGCCACCUUUGAGUGAAAAAAUCAUGUUCAAUGUUCAUCCUCCUAUGUAGAAUCUCCCUAUUUUUCAUAUCCUCAGUAUUGGUUUUGCAAUUUUCCUCUUUUUAACAAACCUGGCUUUCCAUCCCUUUAUUCCCUUCACCAUUUGUCCAUCCUUCGAGUUAGGUUUGGUAGUUGGGACAGAUGGUCCAAAGCGAAU